AACGAACGCUGGCGGCAUGCCUAACACAUGCCAGUCGAACGAGACCUUCGGGUCUAGUGGCGCACGGGUGCGUAACGCGUGGGAACCUGCCCUUAGGUUCGGAAUAACUCCCCGAAAGGGGUGCUAAUACCGGAUAAUGUCUUCGGACCAAAGAUUUAUCGCCUUUGGAUGGGCCCGCGUUGGAUUAGCUAGUUGGUAGGGUAAAAGCCUACCAAGGCGACGAUCCAUAGCUGGUCUGAGAGGAUGAUCAGCCACACUGGGACUGAGACAGGGCCCAGACUCCUACGGGAGGCAGCAGUGGGGAAUAUUGGACAAUGGGCGAAAGCCUGAUCCAGCAAUGCCGCGUGAGUGAUGAAGGCCUUAGGGUUGUAAAGCUCUUUUACCCGGGAUGAUAAUGACAGUACCGGGAGAAUAAGCUCCGGCUAACUCCGUG
rnacentral:rRNA from 1 species